rfam:Dipodomys ordii contig_69933, whole genome shotgun sequence.
GGGAAGGUGGCUCAGUGGUAGAGCGCUUGCCUUGCAUGCAUGAGGACUUGGGUUCAGUUCCUCGGCAUCACA